GGGGCUCCAGCUCGGAUAUCAUCAUAUACUGUAAGUUGGAAUCAGACACUACAGUAUAGAUGAUGUACUAUCUGGAGCUCCUGGA
rnacentral:pre_miRNA from 1 species